rnacentral:rRNA from 1 species
UCACACAAGCGGUGGAGCAUGUGGCUUAAUUCGAGGCUACGCGAAGAACCUUAUCCUGGGCUUGACAUGUGCGAAAGCGUCAGGGAGUAGGGUGCGGAAACGUAACCCCAACGGUAUCCAGUCCGGAGCCUGAUACAGGUGCUGCAUGGCUGUCGUCAGCUCGUGUCGUGAGAUGUCGGGUUAAGUCCCAUAACGAGCGAAACCCUUGUCCGCAGUUGCCAGCGCGUCAUGGCGGGGACUCUGCGGAGACUGCCGGCGUCAAGCCGGAGGAAGGCGGGGAUGACGUCAAGUCCUCAUGGCCUUGAUGCCCAGGGCUGCACACGUGCUACAAUGCCGCGUACAAAGGGAUGCCAACCCGCAAGGGGGAGCUAAUCCCAAAAAACGCGGCCCAGUUCAGAUCGAAGGCUGCAACUCGCCUUCGUGAAGCCGGAAUCGCUAGUAAUCGCAGGUCAGCAACACUGCGGUGAAUGUGUUCCUGAGCCUUGUACUCACCGCCCGUC